rnacentral:rRNA from 1 species
GAUGAACGCUGGCGGCGUGCCUAAUACAUGCAAGUCGAGCGAACGGACGAGAAGCUUGCUUCUCUGAUGUUAGCGGCGGACGGGUGAGUAACACGUGGAUAACCUACCUAUAAGACUGGGAUAACUUCGGGAAACCGGAGCUAAUACCGGAUAAUAUUUUGAACCGCAUGGUUCAAAAGUGAAAGACGGUCUUGCUGUCACUUAGAGAUGGAUCCGCGCUGUAUUAGCUAGUUGGUAAGGUAACGGCUUACCAAGGCAACGAUGCAUAGCCGAGCUGAGAGGGUGAUCGGCCACACUGGAAGUGAGACACGGUCCAGACUCCUACGGGAGGCAGCAGUAGGGAAUCUUCCGCAAUGGGCGAAAGCCUGACGGAGCGACGCCGCGUGAGUGAUGAAGGUCUUCGGAUCGUAAAACUCUGUUAUUAGGGAAGAACAUAUGUGUAAGUAACUGUACACAUCUUGACGGUACCUAAUCAGAAAGCCACGGCUAACUACGUG